rnacentral:misc_RNA from 1 species
GAUGAAGAACGUAGCGAAAUGCGAUACGUAAUGUGAAUUGCAGAAUUCAGUGAACCAUCGAAUCUUUGAACGCAUAUUGCGCUCUCUGGUAUUCCGGAGAGCAUGCUUGUUUGAGUAUCAGUAAACACCUCAACUCCCUUUUCUUUUUUGAAAUUGGAGCUGGACUUGAGUGAUCCCAACGCUUUCUUCCAAGAAAGUGGCGGGUUGCUUGAAAUGCAGGUGCAGCUGAACUUUUCUCUGAGCUAUAAGCAUAUCUAUUUAGUCUGCCUAAAAAACAGAUUAUUACCUUUGCUGCAGCUAACAUAAAGGAGACUAGUUCUUGUGCUGACUGAUGCAGGAUUCACAGAGACAGCUUCGGCUGACUUUGUAAACUCGAUCUCAAAUCAAGUAAGACUACCCGCUGAACUUAAGCAUAUCAAUAAGCGGAGGA